rnacentral:lncRNA from 1 species
UUUUUAUUCUCAUAAUUGAUAAAACUUACAAUAAAUGUUGGGGAAAUUUCCCAAAAGAUAUGAUAGUUUUAAAAUAUUUGUGGUAAAAAUGUAUAUGACAGUUAUUUAUUUGGGAAAUGUCCCGAAAUCAUUUUCAACAUUAAAUUUUAUGACAUAUAUAUGUUGGCAAAGCAUUUUUACAAACAGACCUGAAACACAUUUCGGGAAAUAUCCCGACAAAAAUAAACUAAGUACAAAAUGUAUAACACAGAUGUCUUCAAAUAUUUCGGGAUUUAUCCCGAAAAUAUGAAAUGUAUAUGCUAGAUCUCAUGACUAAUAAUUUCUUUUCACAUUUCGGGAAAAAUCCCGAAAAUAUAAAACUAAUAUCAGACACACACUUGGUGCAUAGAUUUUAUUUACCCGGAAAAAUCCCGAAAAUUAAAUCUACAAGCAAAAAUUAUGCAUUUUGAUUUCUUUUUACCCAUUUCGGGAAAAAUCCCGAAAUAAAAUCUACAAGCAAAAAUUGUGCAUUUUGAUUUCUUUUUACCCAUUUCGGGAAAAAUCCCGAAAUAAAAAUCUACAGGCAAAAAUUAUGCAUUUUGAUUUCUU